rnacentral:rRNA from 1 species
CGGUAACAGGUCUUCGGAUGCUGACGAGUGGCGAACGGGUGAGUAAUACAUCGGAACGUGCCCGAUCGUGGGGGAUAACGAAGCGAAAGCUUUGCUAAUACCGCAUACGAUCUACGGAUGAAAGCAGGGGACCGCAAGGCCUUGCGCGAACGGAGCGGCCGAUGGCAGAUUAGGUAGUUGGUGGGGUAAAGGCUUACCAAGCCUACGAUCUGUAGCUGGUCUGAGAGGACGACCAGCCACACUGGGACUGAGACACGGCCCAGACUCCUACGGGAGGCAGCAGUGGGGAAUUUUGGACAAUGGGCGCAAGCCUGAUCCAGCAAUGCCGCGUGCAGGAUGAAGGCCUUCGGGUUGUAAACUGCUUUUGUACGGAACGAAAAGGCUCUGGUUAAUACCUGGGGCUCAUGACGGUACCGUAAGAAUAAGCACCGGCUAACUACGUGCCAGCAGCCGCGGUAAUACGUAGGGUGCGAGCGUUAAUCGGAAUUACUGGGCGUAAAGCGUGCGCAGGCGGUUAUGUAAGACAGAGGUGAAAUCCCCGGGCUCAACCUGGGAACUGCCUUUGUGACUGCAUAGCUAGAGUACGGCAGAGGGGGAUGGAAUUCCGCGUGUAGCAGUGAAAUGCGUAGAUAUGCGGAGGA